rnacentral:lncRNA from 1 species
GGGCAAGUUCUCACAGUGAGAUCACUGACUCACCGGGAACAGAGACCCUGUCUUCCUCCAGGGGCCCCUGGUGAUCCCCAGGAGCAUGAAAGUGGUCCCCUGCUUCUUACCUAAGCUCUCUAAGGACAGAAGAUCCCCAGCACUGGGAAGCAGGGUCCCCCAUGGUGGGCAGGUUUCAGCAGAGCUUCCAGACUAAGACAGACUAGGAAGAAGGACCUGGCCACCCACUUCCAAAAAUUUGGCUGUGAAAGCCCUGUGAAUGGCAGUGGAGCAUGUCUGAUACAGCGCUG